rnacentral:rRNA from 1 species
GUCCACGCCGUAAACGAUGAAUACUAGGUGUGGGGGUUGUCAUGACCUCCGUGCCGCCGCUAACGCAUUAAGUAUUCCGCCUGGGGAGUACGGUCGCAAGAUUAAAACUCAAAGGAAUUGACGGGGGCCCGCACAAGCAGCGGAGCAUGUGGUUUAAUUCGAAGCAACGCGAAGAACCUUACCUAGACUUGACAUCUCCUGAAUUACUCUGUAAUGGAGGAAGCCCUUCGGGGCAGGAAGACAGGUGGUGCAUGGUUGUCGU